rnacentral:lncRNA from 1 species
AGAACGUGUGCCCCGCGCUGGCUCCUUCCUUCUCGUGCUGAGGAGUCUGCGAGCGGAGGCCUUGAGCAAGGCUGCUCACGUCCUGAGUCAAGCUGGGAUCUGUGUCAGAAGCAUGCAAUGGGGCAUGAGAGACUGCAGAGACCUGCUGUGUCCAGGCUGUGUGGUCACCAGCAACAGAAACCUGCUCUUCCUAUGACAGUGGCAGGACCAGGGUAAG